rnacentral:lncRNA from 1 species
GUCAGGGGUGUGGAGCUGCCCUGGCAGGGGCAGAGGAGCUGAAACCAGCACCACGCUUCCUGCAGCACAGGAGGGUCUUGAGUGCAAGCCCACUUCAGCCUCCAUUUUACAGACACGAGGAGUCUGGGCACUUCUGGGCAGGGGACAGGGUGAGGAAAGCAUUCUGCUGGUCCAGGGCUCCUGGGCCAGCACACAGACAGAGGUGAAGGGCUUGGGAGGGCAUCCCCUCCUUCUGCCCUACAGGAGCGGACCCAGGUGGUCAGCACACAGGCUGGAGUUGCCUGCAGCCCCCCAGUGGUCGUGCCCACCCUGCAGGAGGGCCUGGCUUUGCAGGAGCAACGUGCCCCCCCGCCCCAGGACGGGCCCUGCUGGUCUGAGGCCUUCUCUUCCCACUGUGCCCUGGGGUGGACGAGUGGCCCUGUUACAGCCAAAAGGACAGGAGCAGGGUCUGCCAGAGGCUUUUCAAGGUACAUUUUCCUCCAUGCAGAUGAAGCAAAGGGUGGAGAGCCACACAGGGCCAGCCUUCCUUCCCACCUUGGGCCUGUCAGUGAGAAGGGGAGGCCAACCCACAGGCACUGGACAUGCUGGACGAGGACCCAAGGCCCUGAGGACAGGAGGGGGAGUGGGAAGAGGCCAGGCCCCGACACUGCUGCAGGGCUAACGCAGUCAGCAGCACGCACCUCCAGAUCAGGCUACGGGGAC